UACAGAGGGUGCGAGCGUUGUUCGGAAUUAUUGGGCGUAAAGGGCGCGUAGGCGGUGCGGUAAGUCACCUGUGAAGUCUCCUGGCUCAACUGGGAGCUUGCAGGCGAAACUGCCGUGCUGGAGUGUGGGAGAGGUGCGUGGAAUUCCUGGUGUAGCGGUGAAAUGCGUAGAUAUCAGGAGGAACACCUGUGGCGAAAGCGGCGCACUGGACCACAACUGACGCUGAGGCGCGAAAGCUAGGGGAGCAAACAGG
rnacentral:rRNA from 1 species